rnacentral:piRNA from 1 species
UGGAUUAGAUUUAGUUCUUCCUGCACGAUG